GGGGCGAUGGCGAAAUGGUAGACGCAGGGGACUUAAAAUCCCCUGGGGUGAGACCCCCGUGUGGGUUCGAGUCCCACUCGCCCCACC
rnacentral:tRNA from 1 species